ACCUGAAUUACCUCAGAAAAUCACUAAAUAUUUGCUCAUGUGGCUAUUAUUCUGAGAAUAAAGAUCUGAAUAUUUUGCUCAGAAUUAUUUUUAUUUUUUAGUGAAGUAAGAAAAAUAACACUGUAGAUUUUUCGGUUGAAAUCUAACAUAGAAUUAAAUAGAUAGGGCAUCUUCCUUGGAUUCUAAAGUGGCUAUAGAAAUUUGAAGAUUUACUUAUUAAUUUUUAUAACAUUUACAAGAUUUCUCCAAGGCAAGUACUUUCUUAUAUGGAGGCUUCAUCUUUGCUUAAGACCUUGCUUAUAGGAAGAAACCAAGCAACCAAUCAGCCAAGUAACUCACUUUUUUCUUCUUUCUGCUAUGAAUUUUCUGGUGUAUGAUAAUUGUCAUUUCAUCAUCUCACCUGCAGACUCCGUAUCUCCAACUUGUAAUCUGGGGACUUACUCUUUGAGAAAAAUAGAAGAUCCUGUCAGUUUUCCUUGCCAAUUCCACUGGAAGAAGGAAUCCAAGGGAAAAAGAUAAAGUGAAAGGAGUUGCAACAGAAACUUACUUGAUAAGUAUUCUCUGACAUCAGCAUCCACUGAGAUUCAUGUAAGAUGAGAGCUGGUUUCAGGAACCUUAUGAAAAUGAAUUUAUCGUAAUGAAUUAUUUUUUGGUUCUGCGAAAUAAUUACUUUCUUAUUGGAAGUAAUUGAUUGGGAGCACUUUGCUCUACAGGUUAACUGUGAUAAAUCUAAGUUGAGAUGAAGUGAUUAUGUUCUGCUUAUCUACCCCACUUCACUUCAAAUGUCCAACUCCUGAGAGAAAAUCUACCUAUACUCCCAAACCACUUACGAAAACAUAAAAUUAUACAUGCAAAAUAAUCCAAGUGUUGAGAAAUUAAGGAGUUAUUCCUGCAUGAAAACUCUUCCCUACUGAGUGUAGAAUGGUUUCCACCUUCAGAGAAGUUAGGGGUUAUCUCCUUUUGACAUUCAACUUCUAUAAUCUAGAAAUGAGUUCUAACUGUGCUUUUGUUCUAAGAUAAUUCUACUACAGCAGAAAAGUUUUAAUUCUCAAUAAUAUAAUUUCCUUUUUAUUUCAGUGGUUCCUAACUUUUUUCAAACACAGAAUUUUUUUUGAGAUUUUCAUCAGUUAUCAUUGCUUCCUUAGAAAAAUGCACACAUAUAUACAACAUUUUGCCUAAUAGGGUUUGAUAAUUGCUAGAGAUUCAUGGCUGUCGGUUGCUGUGCAAUUCCUAUUUUCCUCCUUUCCCAAUGGGAGUGAGCUUUUAUUAUAGUUAUGCCCAUUAGAUGUGUUAAUGGGGAAUAUAGUUUUUUAGGUCAUACAUUCAUAGCUCAUGGGGUCUUGAGAAGUCACAUCCAGACAUGAUGAUGAGGAUGUCACUCAGAGGUCCUAGACUUCAAGCUGGAUGAAGUAAUAGGGUGAGUCCUCAGGGUUGAUCUCCUAUGGGGAAAGGCUGAGGUAGUCUCUGUAUUGGAACAAGGGUAGGUGUGGAUGCUGGAUAGCCAAAGGUAGAUGAUGGU
rnacentral:lncRNA from 1 species